UCAUGCCACUGCACUCCAGCCUGGGCAACAGAGUGAGAUUCCAUCUCAAAAAAAUAAAAAAAGUGAGGUGAAGUCUCCUACCAUUAUCGUAGACCUAUCUGUUUCUCCUUUCAUUCUACAGUGUUUGCUUAAUAUAUUUAGGAGCUCUGAGGUGUGUUGCAUGUACAUUUAUAACUGUUACAUCUUUUUGGUGAAUUGACUGUUAUCAUUAUCUCUUAUAACAGCUUUUGACCUUAGGUCGAUUUUGUCUGAUAUUAGUAUAGCUACUCCUUCUCUAUCUUAUUUCAUCCUUUCACUUUCAACCUGUGUAAGUCUCUCAGUCUUCUGAUGGUGGAAUUCAUUUGUAUUUUUAAAGAUUAUCAUUCUGAUGCAACUGACUAACCUGGUGACUGUGUCAUGAGGCCCACAGCCAAGGACUGCGGUGACCAGUUGCUGUGGGGAGACUCCAGCACAUUACUGACGGGACUUCCCGAUGGGGAAGGACUUCCUGGUGCCACGCUGUUGAUUGUUUUCUGCAUGGCUUAUGAUAUGUUGUCAUUACCAUGGGGAUUACACGAAACAUCCUGAAGUUAGAGCAAUCCAUUUUAAACUGAUGUUUUGUUGAUGGCUGACGUAGCGGACUCAAAACAACGAGCACUUCUGCUUGAUACACAGAUUCUCCGAGGUUCCUGUGGAGCCACAGCACCUCCUGUCUUGGCACUUCAUAGUUGUCUCAUCGAGUCCAAGGCUGCCUCCCAAGGGUCUGGCUGGUAGACCAUGAAGUUGAUUCCUGCCUUAAGCCUGGCUCUGCAAGAAGUUGUCCUAUAUUCUCACCAGUCACAUUUUUGGUACUAGAACGGUGCUUUUUAUAGUGCACUCGUAACUGGACGCUGAAAUCACAGCCUGGCCAUUUGGAUGUUCAACCGAUGCUUUAUGCUGCUGAGUCCUUGGAACUCACUCCCCGUGCCGGAACUCACUGGAGCUCAGGUGUGUGGCACUACCUUGUUUCUCUGCAGCUGGUAUUGCAAACAUUUUUCAUGCAUUUAUUUCCCAUUGUUUACUUUUGAGUUUUUGUUUUGUGAGACAGGGUCUCAGUCUGUCACG
rnacentral:lncRNA from 1 species